rnacentral:ncRNA from 2 species
AUUGAAUUAUUGGGAUCAGGUGUCGCAAGACUCAAUAGAAAAGCCGGUUGAAGGCCGGCGCGGUCACGCCACUGUAGCGGGGAGCGAAUCUGCACAAGGCAAGUCACUGGGGAAACCUGGGAAGGCGCAGAGGAGCAAUGAUCCGGAGCCAGGAGAACUGCCUGAUUGACAAUCACCGU